rnacentral:rRNA from 1 species
UACGGGGGGUGCGAGCGUUGUCCGGAAUUAUUGGGCGUAAAGAGCUCGUAGGCGGUCUGUUGCGUCGGCUGUGAAAACCCGGGGCUCAACCCCGGGCCUGCAGCCGAUACGGGCAGACUAGAGUUCGGCAGGGGAGACUGGAAUUCCUGGUGUAGAGGUGAAAUUCGUAGAUAUCGGGAGGAACACCGGUGGCGAAGGCGGCGAUCUGGGUAGAUACUGACGCUGAGGUGCGAAAGCGUGGGGAGCAAACAGG